ACGGGGCGCAGCAGGCGCGAAAACUUUACAAUGCAGGAAACUGUGAUAAGGGAACCCCGAGUGCCUGUAUGGACAGGCUGUUCAGGUGCGCAAAAAACACCUGGAGAAAGGGCCGGGCAAGACCGGUGCCAGCCGCCGCGGUAAUACCGGCGGCUCGAGUGGUGGCCACUAUUACUGGGCUUAAAGCGUCCGUAGCUGGGUAGUUAAGUCUCUGGGGAAAUCUUCCGGCUCAACCGGAAGGCGUCUCAGGGAUACUGGUUACCUUGGGAUCGGGAGAGGUGAGAGGUACUCUGGGGGUAGGAGUGAAAUCCUGUAAUCC
rnacentral:rRNA from 1 species